rnacentral:rRNA from 1 species
GACGAACGCUGGCGGCGUGCUUAACACAUGCAAGUCGAACGAGAAUCUAUGGAUCGAGGAUUCGUCCAAGUGAAGUAGAGGACAGUGGCGGACGGGUGAGUAACGCGUGAGGAACCUGCCUUUCAGGAGGGGGACAACAGUUGGAAACGACUGCUAAUACCGCAUGACACAUAGAGAUCGCAUUGGUUUUUUAUGUACAAAGUAUUUUAUCGCUAGAAAGAUGGCCUCGCGUCUGAUUAGCUAGUUGGUGAGGU